GUGCUUGCCUCAGCAACACAAAUACUAUAAUUGGAAUAGUGCACAGAAGAUGAACAUGACCCCUAAUCAAGGAUGACAAAUUUGUGAAGCAUUUCUAUUUGUU
ensembl:snRNA U6 U6 spliceosomal RNA